GAUGAACGCUGGCGGCGUGCCUAAUACAUGCAAGUCGAACGCUGAAGCUUGGUGCUUGCACCGAGCGGAUGAGUUGCGAACGGGUGAGUAACGCGUAGGUAACCUGCCUCUUAGCGGGGGAUAACUAUUGGAAACGAUAGCUAAUACCGCAUAAAAGUCGAUAUCGCAUGAUAUUGAUUUGAAAGGUGCAACUGCAUCACUAAGAGAUGGACCUGCGUUGUAUUAGCUAGUUGGUGAGGUAACGGCUCACCAAGGCGACGAUACAUAGCCGACCUGAGAGGGGGAACGGCCCCGCUGGGACUGGGACACGGCCCAGAAUCCGACGGGAGGCAGCAGUAGGGAAUCUUCGGCAAUAGGGGCAACCCUGACCGGGCAACGCCGGGAGAGUGAAGAAGGGUUUCGGAUCGGAAAGAUCAGUUGUUAGAGAAGAACGAGUGUGAGAGUGGAAAGUUCACAAUGUGACGGUAACUUACCAGAAAGGGACGGCUAACUACGUG
rnacentral:rRNA from 1 species